rnacentral:rRNA from 1 species
UAGGGAAUCUUCCACAAUGGACGCAAGUCUGAUGGAGCAACGCCGCGUGAGUGAAGAAGGUUUUCGGAUCGUAAAGCUCUGUUGUUGGGGAAGAAGGAUAGAGGCAGUAACUGGUCUUUAUUUGACGGUAAUCAACCAGAAAGUCACGGCUAACUACGUGCCAGCAGCCGCGGUAAUACGUAGGUGGCAAGGGGUGUCCGGAUUUAUUGGGCGUAAAGCGAGCGCAGGCGGAAUGGUAAGUCUGAUGUGAAAGCCCACGGCUGAACCGUGGAGCUGCAUCGGAAACUGUGAUUCUUGAGGGCGGAAGAGGAGAGUGGAAUUCCAUGUGGAGCGGUGGAAUGCGUAGAUAUAUGGAAGAACACCAGUGGCGAAGGCGGCUCUCUGGUCUGCAACUGACGCUGAGGCUCGAAAGCAUGGGUAGCGAACAGG